CAACUUUUGUUGUACUCUGUUUGAUUUGAAAUUUGUUAUGGGACUGGACAAAUUAGAUAGCAAGGGACAGGACAAAAACAAGAUUUUUUGUCCCUCACUAAACCACGGGACAACUUUUUGUCCACAGUAUAAAUAUAAAAAAUACGAAAAUACCUAUUUUAUUUUCGAAUAUAAAAAUAUUAUCGUCCUAUAUCUUUCCGG
rnacentral:lncRNA from 1 species